rnacentral:rRNA from 1 species
GAUGAACGCUGGCGGUAUGCUUAACACAUGCAAGUCGAACGGACUCUUCGGAGUUAGUGGCGGACGGGUGAGUAACGCGUGAGAAUCUGGCUUUGGGUUCGGGACAACCACUGGAAACGGUGGCUAAUACCGGAUGUGCCGAGAGGUAAAAGAGAAAUUGCCUGAAGAUGAGCUCGCGUCUGAUUAGCUAGUUGGUGAGGUAAAGGCUCACCAAGGCAGCGAUCAGUAGCUGGUCUGAGAGGAUGACCAGCCACACUGGGACUGAGACACGGCCCAGACUCCUACGGGAGGCAGCAGUGGGGAAUUUUCCGCAAUGGGCGAAAGCCUGACGGAGCAAUACCGCGUGAGGGAAGAAGGCCCUUGGGUUGUAAACCUCUUUUCUUAGGGAAGAACAAAAUGACGGUACCUAAGGAAUCAGCAUCGGCUAACUCCGUG